CAAUAGCGUAUAUUUAAGUUGUUGCAGUUAAAAAGCUCGUAGUUGGAUUUCGGUUGAGAGCGGCCGGUCCGCCGUUUGGUGUGCACUGCCGGCAUCCGCCUUUCUGUCGGGGACGGGCUCCUGGGCUUCAUUGCUUGGGACUCGGGUUCGACGUGGUUACUUUGAGUAAAUUAGAGUGUUCAAAGCAGGCGAUCGCCCUGAAUACAUUAGCAUGGAAUAGCACGAUAGGACUCUGGCCUAUUUUGCUGGUCUGUAGGACCGGAGUAAUGAUUAAGAGGGACAGUCGGGGGCAUUCGUAUUUCAUUGUCAGAGGUGAAAUUCUUGGAUUUAUGAAAGACGAACUUCUGCGAAAGCAUUUGCCAAGGAUGUUUUCAUUGA
rnacentral:rRNA from 1 species